rnacentral:rRNA from 1 species
GGAUCCCAUCAGAAAUCCACAGUUAAGCAUGCUUGGGCGAGAGUAUUACUAGGAUGGGU